GAGGGUAUAGUUCAAGUGGUAGAGUGCAUGUUUAGCAUGCAUGAGGUUCUGGGUUCAAUCCCUGGUGCCUCCU
rnacentral:tRNA from 1 species